rnacentral:lncRNA from 1 species
GUUUUAUCCUGGCAGAUUCUAUUUUCUAUUUUUUUUUAUUUUACAGAGGAGAAGAUGGGUUCAGAAGAGCUAAGUGACUUAAGCCUACCACUGGACUGACCCCAAUCAAACAGCCCCAGAGCUGGAGCUCCCUGCUCGCCAUGUCCCCGCCCCUUCUGCCUCCACCCUCUGACCGUCUCCUUAGGAGAGCUGAAACACGAGGACGCGCAUCACUUUGUCCGACCUCAGCUGGGAACGUACCAGAUAAGUAAAUUCCCUGAGGGGGGAAAAAAAAAAAAAACUUGGACAAAGAUGACACAGCAAAGAAGAGAGUCGGAACACCGAUCUCCCCAAAUCCUAGCUCUCUCCUCAGGUCCCCUCCAUGGGCUACACGGGAAGGGUUGGAUCCCAGACGAUUCUGCAGCCAUUUGGCCAGCCCCAGCCAUGGCUUGGAGAAGACU